ensembl:lncRNA
UAAUGGCAUUUUAAAAUCCACAAACGAUCACAUAGAUGACUAAAUAUCGACGCACAAUAUGACGGUGCUGUAUUGGUAGUAAAAAUCGCUACAAUAGAACAACAAGGAGAUGGAAAAGUAACAAAAGCUUUCCUCGGAGAGUGAGAAAAUGACAGAAAAUAGGUAAAAUGACCCAGAAAUGUUUACAUAUUAGUGACAAACCACAAUAAAUGACUUCAAAUAGAUACACUAUAGUAAAAAAAGAUGCAGAACAAUCAAAUAUAUUGAUAAUGCACGAAAAAUUGGAAUAGAAAACAUUAUUGUAUGAAAACAUGGCACAGAGACUAAAAACCCCAAACACACAUUUGUACCUGAGAUGCAUCCGACUAAAGAUCUUUGCGACCUUCUUACAUCACCCGUGUAACAUCUGACAUCCACAGCAGAUGAUUAGUAUAGUCUCUAUGCAUUUCAGAAUAGCAAAGAAACAGUGUUUUCACAGACGUCUUUACCUGCCAAAGGAACAUUGUUUGGCCGUUGCCUUUACUUUGUUAUGUGAUGACAAAUAACAUUGAAUAAAAUACAAAGAUACUCACUUUGACGGCUGAUUUUAGAUCGCACACUUUCUGACCUUCUGUCCUUUGUGUGUCUGGACUUAUAACUGAUGUGAUGCUUUGCAGAAAAAAACCUACACAUUUGAAUCUGUGUGUGUGUGUUUUGCAUGUUUUAAAACCCGUAAGCAGAUCCAGAAUCAGCGCUUUGCUGUAAGACCUUUAUAAAAUGUCUGUUAUCAACCAUCUACUUUUACACUUGGAAUGUGUGAAUUAGUGUAGAAUUUGCUUAUUUUACACUCUAGCAACAAAAUCUCCAACUUAGAUACAUAAUGUAAAGUGAAGACAAAGAAUCUGCAGGUCUGCUGUCGCUUACAUUUACAUACAUUGAAUAAAUGACCCUCUAGAUUUUCUAAGAAACCAGUUUUCAUCAAACGCAGGUGAAAAACAGCAUUAAAACACAGAUGUUCAUUGUCAAUGUCUUUAUUAUGAGUAGUUCUGGUUGUGAGAAAUUUGCUUAUUCACCUCAUCUUUCACCAAGAUGUUGUUUGACAGGAUUCAAAUGAGCUGUGACUAAAAAUCUGGAAUUAUUCAAAUCAAACACCGUCCGUCUCAAUGUGUCACUUGUUAUUUUAAGACCUAAACUACAAGAUCAACUUUGGUCCAGUAUUUUGCUAAUCACAGUUGGGUAUUUUAUUUUGUCUACCACAAUUUGUCAAUUAUUAGUAGUAUUUGGUUAGAUUAGCUAAUUCCGCUGGUCUGUAUGUAGACGUCUACCAACAAGGAGACAAGUAGCAGGUGGUAUGUGCCAAUGCCAGGAGAGGUGUGUACCGAUCUCAGAGGGGUAUGUAGCUGCAUGUCCCAAAGUCAGGAUCGACCUGCAUGGACCCACCGCCUCGUUCAUAUACAAAUCAAAUUUAUUGACAUACUAGACAAACGCAGCAUCUUGAAAGUCGCACAGCACAGCGUCUUCCAUAAGGAAAUAUAUCUUUUUCAUCUUGUCCUUUUUCUGAAUUAAGGCUUUAGAAAUUGAGAUAAAGGGAUUUCGUAUUUGCUCAGAUAGACCGAAAAUGGUAAUCUGGCCAAUGUUUGGUUAACCUACCCAGUCUGACUUACGGUAUCCACCUGUGUAAGUAUUCCGACUCAUUUCAUUCAGACGGCAAUGGAAAAUGGGUUUGCAGUUAAAUCCUCAGGUCAUGGACCAUGCACGGUCGACACACGGGUCCCGCUCUAUCACAUCAUGUCAGGUCAUGUGCCGGUGAGUCAGACUGCAAUGCAAAUCAUAUCAGUUGUAAUGUGCAAAAGAAAUAUGAAAGAAUAUGCAACACAACUAUGAAGAGAAACCAAACGAAUGCAAAGAGAUGCACAACGAUUUUAAGGAGAAACACAAAAAAAUUUAAGAAAUCAAAAUAUAACCACAAACGAGCCCAACAACAAUAUAGCAACACACAAUUACCACAAAGAAAUAUAAUCUAGAGAUAAUGCAUUUUAAAGAGAUAAUGAUUGAAUCUAAUCUGGUCCUUUUACAGAUCUGUUGACGUUCUGACAAAACAGUAGUUUUCCUGCUCUGUGGAGAAAGAGAAGAGGCAACACCAGACUGCUGGGCAACGUUAACCACGUAGAGGCCAACCACAGAAUACAUGUUUCACAUUCCUCGACAUCUGGCGAGGCAUACAAUGCACAGUAAACUGCAGUCCCCACAACCCUCACCAGCAGCACCCCCAGUAUGACCAUGAUGGUGUAGAACACUCUCAUCUUUGCUCGGUCGACCCGCCGUCUACCCUCCCCCCCGGCCCCCGGCCCCGGACCAAUCAGAACGCGGAGAACAGCGAGGCUGCAGAAGGAGACGACGAUGAACAUGAAGGCUGCCAAACAUAAAGCAAAGAUGUUCAUUAAAUUGGAGUCAGCAUGGUAUAGGGAACCUAUGUUUGCAAGCAAGAGCAGCCAAACACAUCCGAUGGAGACGUUUCUGACUCUGAUCCACUUCUGGUUCUUCAGGCCCAGGUAGGUGACGGGGUGAACGACGGCCAGGUAGCGCUCCACACAGGUCAGAGUGUGAAACAGCUGCUGGCCAAAAAAGUUCACUGAUAAAAAGCAUACACCCACCGUGACCAUUCCUGUGAGACGGGUGAGGACGCCGCAACUGCAUAAAAGGUUCCCUACGAUAUUCAUCAGCUCGAUGGCGACCAUGUGGAAGGUGAAGACGUCGGAGUGGCUCGCCGCCGUGCCGGAGCGCCGUUGUUUGAGUCCCAGGUAGACGACGUAGACGCAGGGAGGGAGGACCAGCAGGAGGCUGCAGACGGUGAAAGCGAUCAUGCUGGAGGCGCCGGCUGGACUUCUGUAGCAGUUCUGCAGGAAUUCAAUGACAUUGAUGGAGGAAGAGUUGGAAGGAGAAAACGAGGAAGAGGAAUUGACUGACAUGACUGGGGGCAAGAGUCAGGGACAGAGAGGAUAAGAGAGAAAGAUAAGACACAAUCUUAACAAAAGGUCCUUUUAAACGUCCUCAUCUUACGCACUCUUUAAGCUAAACACACUCUUCCAACAGGUAGAUUUAUUGAUCAAAAUCAUCACAACAUGAAGGUAGGUAUCUUCUACAGAAUUACCUUUCACAUUUGUUUUUGAUUGAACAAGAAUAUUAUUGACAGAUAUAACAUUCGUACUUUAAAAUCAGGUAAUGAAGCAUUUAAAAAAAACAAAUGAAGAACAAUAUCUUAUGAAGAGUGUAAACUAACCGCCAUUAUUCGUAACAGAUGUCACUCUAAUGAAUUAAACUGAUCGAAUUUCCACCAUGAAAAUACACCUACUUUCUUUGCAGUUUUUGAUUGUGAUCCUUCUGAUAUUCUGUCCGCUGUGUCUCUGGCCUGUGGACUGGUGGACUGUCGCCGGCUGCAGCGUAAAUGUGCGUCUGUGUGUGAAUGUUUUGCAUAUCACGUAACCCGAGAAUUGCUCCAACAGGGGGAGCUGCUUCUGAACCUCGGCCCUCAGAUUUACAGGUGCUGAUCCGCAUCCCGACUGCUUCACACUGGUCUGUGACCUCCAGUGAGAGUUGGAGAUGCCAUUAGGACCACACCAUCUGCAUAAAGCAGCGAUGAGAACGGUGAAGCCUCCCCCUCAUCCCCCCGACUACGCCCCAAUAUCCAUGUAAACCACAAACCGGACUAGUGACAAGGUGCCGGCCUGGCGAAGGCCGACGCCCACCGGAAACGACUCCGACUGACGGCUUCCUGUCUGUACUGGGUGUGCUGGGAUUGGACGGCCCCUUGGACUGGGUUUGGCAUGUUAGCAUGCUAACACUUACUAGCCUAAAAAAAUCUAGACUUCAUAAGUUUGAUGAAAGCAGCAUUUCAACACAUAUUAAACAGCAUGUUCACUUGGCAGGGCUGUUUAUUCAUUGAUUGGUUAUUCGGCAUAUGAUUCAUCAGAAUUACAUGAAAAUACACUUAAUUUGGAUAACAAACUCUCU